UACGUAGGGGGCGAGCGUUGUCCGGAAUCAUUGGGCGUAAAGAGCUCGUAGGCGGUUCAGUAAGUCAGGUGUGAAAGCUCCGAGCUCAACUCGGAGAGGCCACCUGAUACUGCUGUGACUAGAAUCCAGUAGGGGAGUGUGGAACUCCUGGUGUAGCGGUGAAAUGCGCAGAUAUCAGGAAGAACACCCGUGGCGAAGGCGGCUCUCUGGGACGGUACUGACGCUGGGACGCGAAAGCGUGGGGAGCGAACAGG
rnacentral:rRNA from 1 species